rnacentral:rRNA from 1 species
GGCGUGCCUAAUACAUGCAAGUCGAGCGAGCGCACCUAACAGAUUUACUUCGGUAAUGAGGUUAGGAAAGCGAGCGGCGGAUGGGUGAGUAACACGUGGGGAACCUGCCCCAUAAUCUGGGAUACCACUUGAAAACAGGUGCUAAUACCGGAUAAGAAAACACAUCGCACUGAUCAGCUUUUAAAAGGCGGCGUAGAGCUGUCGCUAUGGUGAUGGCCCCGCGGUGCAUUACCUAGUUGGUAAGGUAAAGGCUUACCAAGGCGAUGAUGCAUAGCCAAGUUGAGAGACUGAUCGGCCACCUUGGGACUGAAACACGGCCCAGACUCCUACGGGAGGCAACACUAUGGAAUCUUCCACAAUGGACGCAAGUCUGAUGGAGCAACGCCGCGUGAGUGAAGAAGGUUUUCGGAUCGUAAAGCUCUGUUGUUGGUGAAGAAAGAUAUAGGUAGUAACUGGCCUUUAUUUGACGGUAAUCAACCAUAAAGUCACGGCUAACUACGUGCCAACAGCCGCGGUAAUACGUAUGUGGCAAGCGUUGUCCGGAUUUAUUGCACGUAAAGCGAGCGCACGCGGACGAAUAAGUCUGAUGAGAAAGCCCUCGGCUUACCCGAGGAACUGCAUCGGAAACUGUUUUUCUUGAGUGCAGAAGAGGAGAGUGGAACUUCAUGUGUAGCGGUGGAAUGCGUAGAUAUAUGGAAGAACACCAGUGGCGAAGGCGGCUCUCUGGUCUGCAACUGACGCUGAGGCUCGAAAGCAUGGGUAGCGAACAGGAUUAGAUACCCUGGUAGUCCAUGCCGUAAACGAUGAGUGCUAAGUGUUGGGAGGUUUCCGCCUCUCAGUGCUGCAGCUAACGCAUUAAGCACUCCGCCUGGGGAGUACGACCGCAAGGUUGAAACUCAAAGGAAUUGACGGGGGCCCGCACAAGCGGUGGAGCAUGUGGUUUAAUUCGAAGCAACGCGAAGAACCUUACCAGGUCUUGACAUCUAGUGUCAUUUGUAGAGAUACAAAGUUCCCUUCGGGGACGCUAAGACAGGUGGUGCAUGGCUGUCGUCAGCUCGUGUCGUGAGAUGUUGGGUUAAGUCCCGCAACGAGCGCAACCCUUGUUAUUAGUUGCCAGCAUUAAGUUGGGCACUCUAAUGAAACUGCCGGUGACAAACCGGAGGAAGGUGGGGAUGACGUCAAGUCAUCAUGCCCCUUAUGACCUGGGCUACACACGUGCUACAAUGGGCAGUACAACGAGAAGCGAGCCUGCGAAGGCAAGCGAAUCUCUGAAAGCUGUUCUCAGUUCGGACUGCAGUCUGCAACUCGACUGCACGAAGCUGGAAUCGCUAGUAAUCGCGGAUCAGCACGCCGCGGUGAAUACGUUCCCGGGCCUUGUACACACCGCCCGUCACACCAUGGGAGUCUGCAAUGCCCAAAGCCGGUGGCCUAACCUUCGGGAAGGAGUCGUCUAAGGCAGGGCAGAUGACUGGG